UGUAAAGCACAGCUACACACCCCCUUCCAGCGAGCUCACACUCACUCACUCACAGAGCAGUUGCAGCCCUCUGAAGCCCCACUCUGGUGCCUCCUGCACACACUUAGACACUUUUUGAGCCGUCUAACUCAGGACCAAGACGUCCCAUCUGCAGAUAGGCGGAGGACAGGAACAGGACAGGACACGCACCCUCGACACCACACAGCAGCACCGCAGACAUGUCGGACUCCGAGACCGCCGCCGCCCCCGCCGAGGCCCCCGUCCCCGCUGCUUGUGCCACUAUCAAGGCUGACCUGGACAAAUGUGUGGCAGAGAAGGGAGCCGAGGGCUGCAAAGAUCUGAUGGAGGCCUUUGCUGCUUGUGUGAAGAGUGCAGCUGAGGGGACGUCAUGAGGAGUCGCCCUCCAACCUCAAAUGUCCACUGCACUGAGUCCUCCAAGUUCCCAGCAUUCCCUUCUGCACAACAGCACUGGACUGAAUGAUGACAACUACGAUGACGAAGAAGAUGAUGAUGAUGAUAACGAUGAAGAUGAUCAUGGCGUGACAAACGUGUUGAUUCGGGCUGAAUUUGGGAUGUGGUGGCAGUAACCACAGUUUCCUCCCCCCUGUCCUCCCCCUGUUAUAGGCUUAUCUGAUGUCCCUCAGUCUUACCACCGUUCCCCUCUUCCUCUUCUUCCCCCUCCUCUUCCUCCCUCCUCGGCUGACAUGCAGCGCACCAACGUGUAGACAAUUCCAGAUGAGCUGAGCUGUAAUGUAAAUUGUCGACUUGAGAUGAAUACUUAUAAAUGGAAAUAAAAGUAUCAAAUAAUUGGUAUAAAAACAGA